GUUCUCACGGCAAUCCCCACUUUUGCCCUGUCCGUGUUGCGAGCGCCGAAAAAAUUCUUCAAGGAAGUUGACAAAGCAAGGCGGCGCUUUCUCUGGGCACAGGAUGAUGACCUCGCCGGAGGAAAAUGCAAGGUCAACUGGACGACGGUUUGCUCGCCAACGGAAAAAGGGGGAUUGGGAAUCCACAACUUGAGCAAAUUCUCCAGAGCUCUCCGGUUGCGCUGGCUAUGGCUUGCCUGGCACCACCAAGAACGCCCGUGGGCAGGCACUGAGCUGCCAUGCGAUCAGCAAGACAUGGCUCUG
rnacentral:rRNA from 1 species